UUCCCAACUUGGGACGUGAUAGGAGC
rnacentral:piRNA from 1 species